rnacentral:tRNA from 1 species
CUGAUUUCAUUGAAUUCAACGCCGGACUUGUAAUCAGGGGGUGGCGGGUUCAAGUCCUGCAGCCAGCACCA